ensembl:lncRNA
AUGCUGCUACAACAACAACAACAGGAUCAACAGAAACUGAAGCUUCCACAACCAACAACAACACCAUCAACAGAAACGGAAGCUUCCACAAACAUAGAUGUGACCCCCACAACCACACUUAUAUCCUCACCAAGUACAACUACACUUUCAACAGUAACAAAUGCUGCUUCAACAACAACAGCACCAUCAACAGAAACUGAAGCUUCCACAACUAUGGAGGUGAUCCCCACAGCCACACUUAUAUCCUCACCAAGUACAACUGCGCCUUCAACAGCAACAAAUGCUGCUUCAACAACACCAGCACCAUCAACAGAAAUGGAAGCUUCCACAACCGUAGAUGUCAUUCCCACAACCACACAUAUAUCCUCACCAAGUACAACAAUAGCAUCAUCAUCAGAAACCGACGCUUCCACAACCAUAGAGGUGACGCCCACAACCACACUUAUAUCCUCACCAAGUACAACUACACUUUCAACAGUAACAAAUGCUGCUUCAACAACAACAGCACCAUCAACAGAAACUGAAGCUUCCACAGCAAUAGAUGUAUUCCCCACAACUACUCUCAUAUCCUCACCAAGUACAACUACACCAUCAAAAACAACAAAUGCUGCUUCAACAACAACAACACCAUCAACAGAAACGGAAGCUUCCACAAACAUAGAUGUGACCCCCACAACCACACUUAUAUCCUCACCAAGUACAACUACACUUUCAACAGUAACAAAUGCUGCUUCAACAACAACAGCACCAUCAACAGAAACUGAAGCUUCCACAGCAAUAGAUGUAUUCCCCACAACUACUCUCAUAUCCUCACCAAGUACAACUACACCAUCAAAAACAACAAAUGCUGCUUCAACAACAACAACACCAUCAACAGAAACGGAAGCUUCCACAAACAUAGAUGUGACCCCCACAACCACACUUAUAUCCUCACCAAGUACAACUACACUUUCAACAGUAACAAAUGCUGCUUCAACAACAACAGCACCAUCAACAGAAACUGAAGCUUCCACAGCAAUAGAUGUAUUCCCCACAACUACUCUCAUAUCCUCACCAAGUACAACUACACCAUCAAAAACAACAAAUGCUGCUUCAACAACAACAACACCAUCAACAGAAACGGAAGCUUCCACAAACAUAGAUGUGACCCCCACAACCACACUUAUAUCCUCACCAAGUACAACUACACUUUCAACAGUAACAAAUGCUGCUUCAACAACAACAGCACCAUCAACAGAAACUGAAGCUUCCACAACUAUGGAGGUGAUCCCCACAGCCACACUUAUAUCCUCACCAAGUACAACUGCGCCUUCAACAGCAACAAAUGCUGCUUCAACAACACCAGCACCAUCAACAGAAAUGGAAGCUUCCACAACCGUAGAUGUCAUUCCCACAACCACACAUAUAUCCUCACCAAGUACAACAAUAGCAUCAUCAUCAGAAACCGACGCUUCCACAACCAUAGAGGUGACGCCCACAACCACACUUAUAUCCUCACCAAGUACAACUACACUUUCAACAGUAACAAAUGCUGCUUCAACAACAACAGCACCAUCAACAGAAACUGAAGCUUCCACAGCAAUAGAUGUAUUCCCCACAACUACUCUCAUAUCCUCACCAAGUACAACUACACCAUCAAAAACAACAAAUGCUGCUUCAACAACAACAACACCAUCAACAGAAACGGAAGCUUCCACAAACAUAGAUGUGACCCCCACAACCACACUUAUAUCCUCACCAAGUACAACUACACUUUCAACAGUAACAAAUGCUGCUUCAACAACAACAGCACCAUCAACAGAAACUGAAGCUUCCACAGCAAUAGAUGUAUUCCCCACAACUACUCUCAUAUCCUCACCAAGUACAACUACACCAUCAAAAACAACAAAUGCUGCUUCAACAACAACAACACCAUCAACAGAAACGGAAGCUUCCACAAACAUAGAUGUGACCCCCACAACCACACUUAUAUCCUCACCAAGUACAACUACACUUUCAACAGUAACAAAUGCUGCUUCAACAACAACAGCACCAUCAACAGAAACUGAAGCUUCCACAGCAAUAGAUGUAUUCCCCACAACUACUCUCAUAUCCUCACCAAGUACAACUACACCAUCAAAAACAACAAAUGCUGCUUCAACAACAACAACACCAUCAACAGAAACGGAAGCUUCCACAAACAUAGAUGUGACCCCCACAACCACACUUAUAUCCUCACCAAGUACAACUACACUUUCAACAGUAACAAAUGCUGCUUCAACAACAACAGCACCAUCAACAGAAACUGAAGCUUCCACAACUAUGGAGGUGAUCCCCACAGCCACACUUAUAUCCUCACCAAGUACAACUGCGCCUUCAACAGCAACAAAUGCUGCUUCAACAACACCAGCACCAUCAACAGAAAUGGAAGCUUCCACAACCGUAGAUGUCAUUCCCACAACCACACAUAUAUCCUCACCAAGUACAACAAUAGCAUCAUCAUCAGAAACCGACGCUUCCACAACCAUAGAGGUGACGCCCACAACCACACUUAUAUCCUCACCAAGUACAACUACACUUUCAACAGUAACAAAUGCUGCUUCAACAACAACAGCACCAUCAACAGAAACUGAAGCUUCCACAGCAAUAGAUGUAUUCCCCACAACUACUCUCAUAUCCUCACCAAGUACAACUACACCAUCAAAAACAACAAAUGCUGCUUCAACAACAACAACACCAUCAACAGAAACGGAAGCUUCCACAAACAUAGAUGUGACCCCCACAACCACACUUAUAUCCUCACCAAGUACAACUACACUUUCAACAGUAACAAAUGCUGCUUCAACAACAACAGCACCAUCAACAGAAACUGAAGCUUCCACAGCAAUAGAUGUAUUCCCCACAACUACUCUCAUAUCCUCACCAAGUACAACUACACCAUCAAAAACAACAAAUGCUGCUUCAACAACAACAACACCAUCAACAGAAACGGAAGCUUCCACAAACAUAGAUGUGACCCCCACAACCACACUUAUAUCCUCACCAAGUACAACUACACUUUCAACAGUAACAAAUGCUGCUUCAACAACAACAGCACCAUCAACAGAAACUGAAGCUUCCACAGCAAUAGAUGUAUUCCCCACAACUACUCUCAUAUCCUCACCAAGUACAACUACACCAUCAAAAACAACAAAUGCUGCUUCAACAACAACAACACCAUCAACAGAAACGGAAGCUUCCACAAACAUAGAUGUGACCCCCACAACCACACUUAUAUCCUCACCAAGUACAACUACACUUUCAACAGUAACAAAUGCUGCUUCAACAACAACAGCACCAUCAACAGAAACUGAAGCUUCCACAACUAUGGAGGUGAUCCCCACAGCCACACUUAUAUCCUCACCAAGUACAACUGCGCCUUCAACAGCAACAAAUGCUGCUUCAACAACACCAGCACCAUCAACAGAAAUGGAAGCUUCCACAACCGUAGAUGUCAUUCCCACAACCACACAUAUAUCCUCACCAAGUACAACAAUAGCAUCAUCAUCAGAAACCGACGCUUCCACAACCAUAGAGAUGACGCCCACAACCACACUUAUAUCCUCACCAAGUACAACUACACUUUCAACAGUAACAAAUGCUGCUUCAACAACAACAGCACCAUCAACAGAAACUGAAGCUUACACAACCAUACAUGUGACCCCCACAACCUCUCUCAUAUCCUCACCAAGUACAACUGCAGCAUCAACAACAACAAAUGCUGCUUCAACAACAACAGCACCGUCAACGGAAACUGAAGUUUCCACAACCAUAGAGGUGACACCCUCAACCACUCUGAUAUCCUCACCAAGUACAACUGCAGCAUCAACAACAACAAAUGCUGCUUCAACAACAACAGCACCGUCAACGGAAACUGAAGUUUCCACAACCAUAGAGGUGACACCCUCAACCACUCUGAUAUCCUCACCAAGUACAACUGCAGCAUCAACAACAACAAAUGCUGCUUCAACAACAACAGCACCGUCAACGGAAACUGAAGUUUCCACAACCAUAGAGGUGACACCCUCAACCACUCUGAUAUCCUCACCAAGUACAACUGCAGCAUCAACAACAACAAAUGCUGCUUCAACAACAACAGCACCGUCAACGGAAACUGAAGUUUCCACAACCAUAGAGGUGACCCCCACAACCACUCUGGUAUCCUCACUAAAUACAACAACAGCACCAUCAACAGAAACUGGAGCAUCCGCAACCAUAGAUGAGAUCCCCACAACCACUCUUAUAUCCUUACCAAGUUCAACAACAACAGAGCCAUCAACAGAAACUGAAGCUUCCACAACCAUAGAGGUGACCCCCACAAUCACUCUCAUAUCCUCACAAAGUACAACUGCACCAUCACCAGCAACAAAUGCUGCUUCAACAACAACAACAGCACCAUCAACAGAAACUGAAGUUUCCACAACCAUAGAGGUGACCCCCACAACCACUCUGGUAUCCUCACUAAAUACAACAACAGCACCAUCAACAGAAACUGGAGCAUCCGCAACCAUAGAUGAGAUCCCCACAACCACUCUUAUAUCCUUACCAAGUUCAACAACAACAGAGCCAUCAACAGAAACUGAAGCUUCCACAACCAUAGAGGUGACCCCCACAACCACUCUCAUAUCCUCACCAAGUACAACUGCACCAUCAACAACAACAAAUGCUGCUUCAACAACAACAGCACCAUCAACAGAAACUGAAGUUUCCACAACCAUAGAGGUGACACCCACAACCACUCUGGUAUCCUCACUAAAUACAACAACAGCACCAUCAACAGAAACUGGAGCAUCCGCAACCAUAGAUGAGAUCCCCACAACCACUCUUAUAUCCUUACCAAGUUCAACAACAACAGAGCCAUCAACAGAAACUGAAGCUUCCACAACUACAGAGGCGACACCCACAACCACUCUGAUAUCCUCACUAAAUACAACAACAGCACAAUCAUCAGAAACUGAGGCUUCCACAACAAUAUAUCUGACCCCCACAACCACUCUCAUAUCCUCACCAAGUACAACUGCACCAUCAACAACAAAUGCUGCUUCAACAACAACAGCAGCAUCAACAGAAACUGAAGCUUCCACAACUAUAGAGCUGACCCCCACAACCACUCUCAUAUCCUCAGCAAGUACAACAACAACAGCACAAUCAACAGAAACUGAAGCUUCCACAACCGAAGAGGUGACCACCACAACCACACUCAUUUCCUCACCAAGUAAAACAACUACAGCACCAUCAACAGAAUCUAAGGCUUCCACAACCAUAGAUGUGAUCCCCACAACCACACUUAUAUCCACACCAAGUACAACUGCAUCUUCAACAGAAACAAAUGCUGCUUCAACAACAACAGCAGCACUGUCAACAGAAACUGAAGCUUCCACAAUCAGAGAUGUGACCCCCACAACCACUCUCAUAUCCUCACCAAGUGCAAGAACAACAGCACCAUCAACAGAAACUGAAGCUUCCACAACCAUAGAGGUGACCCCCACAACCACUCUCAUAUCAUCACGAAGUACAACAACAACACCACCAUCAGCAGCAACUGAAGCUUACACAACCAUACAUGUGACCCCCACAACCUCUCUCAUACCCUCACCAAGUGCAAGAACAACAGCACCAUCAACAGAAACUGAAGCUUACACAACAAUACAUGUGACACCCACAACCUCUCUCAUAUCCUCACAAAGUACAACUACACCACCAACAACAACAAAUGCUGCUUCAACAACAACAGCACCAUCAACAGAAACUGAAGCUUACACAACCAUACAUGUGACCCCCACAACCUCUCUCAUAUCCUCACAAAGUACAACUGCACCAUCAAGAACAACAAAUGCUGCUUCAACAACAACAGCACCAUCAGCAGAAACUGAAGUUUCCACAACUAUAGAGGUGACCCCCACAACCACUCUCAUAUCCUCACUAAAUACAACAACAGCACCAUCAACAGAAACUGAGGCUUCCACAACCACAGAGGUGACCCCCACAACCGCUCUGAUAUCCUCACUAAGUACAACAACUACAGCACCAUCAACAGAAACUAAAGCUUCCACAACCAUAGAUGUGAUCCCCACAACCACACUUAUGUCCUCACCAAGUACAACUGCAUCGUCAACAGAAACAAAUGCUGCUCCAACAACAACAGCACUGUCAACAGAAACUGAAGCUUCCACAACCAUAAAUAUGAGCCCCACAACCACUCUCAUAUCCUCACCAAGUGCAACAACAACAGCACCAUCAACAGAAACUGAAGCUUCCACAACCAUAAAUAUGAGCCCCACAACCACUCUCAUAUCCUCACCAAGUACAACAACAACAGCAACAUCAACAGAAACUGAGGCUUCCACAACCAUAGAUGUGAUCCCUAUAACCACACUUAUAUCCUCACCAAGUACAACUGCACCAUCAACAGCAACAAAGGCUGCUUCAACAACAGCAGCAUCAUCAACAGAAACGGAAGCUUCCACAACCGUAGAUGUGAUCCCCACAACCACUCUCAUAUCCUCA